UACGAAGGGGGCUAGCGUUGUUCGGAAUCACUGGGCGUAAAGAGCAUGUAGGCUGGUAGAAAAGUUGGAAGUGAAAUCCUGUGGCUUAACCAUAGAACUGCUUCCAAAACUGCUUACCUAGAAUAUGGGAGAGGUAGAUGGAAUUUCUGGUGUAGGGGUAAAAUCCGUAGAGAUCAGAAGGAAUACCGAUUGCGAAGGCGAUCUACUGGAACAUUAUUGACGCUGAGAUGCGAAAGCGUGGGGAGCAAACAGG
rnacentral:rRNA from 1 species